AAACACUUAAGGAGAGGGAGGAGGUGCAGCGGAGCAGGAUGAAGAAAUAACUCAAAGUGACAAACUGACAUGGAAAAUAAAGGCUGUGAGUGAGUGUUUCAGGACCCUUAUUGCAUAUUUUACACCAUGCAAACUGAAUCUGAGCAGAAUUAGAGACAAAAAACUGAAAUUUACUGCAACAGAUUCAUAAAACAUCUAUGGAAUGGAGGUUUGAGUCUGCUUGUGACCAAAUUUUUGCCGAAAGACUGAUAUCUCCACAUGUUUUUAUUUAUCUUGAACACUUAAUCUCUAUUUUGAAUGUUUACCUUUUUGAUUUUGGUUCAAACUGUCUAGAUUAUGAUGUUUCCAUUUUAUUGUUUGUACAUUUACUGUCAGUCCCUACCCUCAUUUUUUAUGCAUGCCAUGCUUUGCCAGCCUAUUUUGUUUCUUUCUUGCUUGGGUUUGCUGUAAAAUAUUUUGAACUGCAUUUGAUUCGAACAAAUUGUGCUUUGAAAUAAAGUUUGGAUUGUCAACUUCGAGCUGACACUCUGGUUCCACUCGGUGCCCCCUACAGGGCCGGAGUCUCUCAAUUUAGAUGGACAUCCAGGAUAAGAUAUGCACCUGGCACCUUUCAUUAGCAAUAUGUUUGUGUUGUUGGUUUUUUAUGAUAUCUGCAGUUCUUGAUGAAAAUCUUCUGGUCAGUAGCAGCAUGUGUGCAGUUGCAGGACACUGCGGAAAAUCUCUUUAAAGGGAUAUUCUGGCGUAAAAUCAAUUAUGGUCAAACACAGGUGAAUUUUGCAGACUGCUUGCUUCUGUGGUUAAACCAACUUAAGUUGCGACCACACUAUAGCAUAAAAAUGAGAAGUUGAAUAAAUUGUUGAAAUCUUUUGUAGGUCAGAUUGUUGUUGGUGGAUCUGCAAAUAGGUUACUACAGAUCUAACUGUAUCAGUCCUGGUGUUUCGUGUGCGUGCAUGUGUGUAUUAAAGUGAGGUUGGGCUGCAGAUGUACAUUCACUCACAGAAUGACCUCACUCAUUCCUGUAUAUUAACACUGUAAUCCCUCUGUGUUUGAGAGAGAAAAAGGCUCGACCCUGAUCCUCCCUGACCCUCGCCUGGCUUCUGCAGCCUCAGGAUGAGAGCCCCCUCCGUCAACUCAACAUACAGCAACCUUUGACCUCUGGAGAAUCAUCUGUCAGAGAGAAAUGAUGACCUUUGUGUGUCACCGAUAAUCUGUGAGUCAACAUCUGGACGGCUACAUCGCUCCGAUUCAGCACAUGUCGCUGUUUGUCCGCGAUAAGUGAUCGCCUUUCAGGUAAAACAGGGAUAUUGGAAAAGGAUUUAUGGAAUAUAUAUCGGGAUUAUCGACCUUUAGAGGGAGAUACAUUUGAAGCUCAACUUUCCCAAAAUAGUUCUUUAUUUUUCAAAAUGCUGGAUAAAGAACUUGAGUUAACUGCUUUGUCAAAACUCCACCCAUGUCAAACAAAAUGUAAAAAAAAUAAAACAAAAAAACGUGCUCUUUUAAAUCAAAAUUGAUUUUUGCCACUAAAACAAAACCCAGCUAUCAAAUGUCCUAGGUGCAUCAAAAGCUAAAUCAAACCAAGCCAAAGAAAUGUGUGUGAGAUGAUGUCAAAAUGAAGGUACCACAUAAAAAGGUAAAGCUGGGGUGGAGGUGGGUUUUUUGUGCAAAUAAAAAAUGAAAAAAAAAAAAAGGAUAAAAAGUGCUCAACUCUUGCUUAUCUCACUUUCCCAAGGUUAGGGUCCCUGGUUUUAGGAGGGUGGCGGUCCUAAACUUUGGAAAAUGAGAACCAAUAAAUAGAGGGACACCAUCUCAAUGUGGCGGACGUUCGAAAAGUCUUGAAACGCUGGCUUUUAAAUUUACUUUCCUCAUUUACUAUUUUUCUGUGACUUUAAACACCAGAUGAGGGAUAAAAAAAGUUCUGCAUUGAUCGUGUGACGUAGGACAACCUUUUCAAACCGAGUACUAACUUGGGGCAACUUGAGGCAACAUCCAACGUGCUCUUCUUUAACGUUGACGCCUCAAUCUACAUUUUGAAUCUCAAAACAAGCUUGGAUGUGUUUUCCUUAAUCGAAUUAGCAAAUAUUUCUCGUGACUUGGGGACACUAGAUCUUUUUCAGGAUGAAUGAGGCCCUUAGGGGCUGCAGGUCAGCUGCUGCUUUGCCUGAUUCAAGUCUUUCUAUGUUUUCUGUGUACAUUUUUGUUUACCAGCUUUGAGUAUUUGCAAAAUUACAGCUGAAAGUAAAAAUAAAAAUGACAACAAAUAUUCUGAUUGCUGUUAUAAAUCACAUUUUAGAAGGUGCAAGAAAUCUUCAAUAAAAAUUAAAAUGGUGUGAGGGCUGUUUUAGAGCCAAACAAUGAAAGCCUCAACUCGCCCCAUAAACUCCUCAUUCUUUACCCGUGCAAAAAAUCCAGAUAUAUCAUUGAUUUGUGAAAGAUUUCCUAAAUGUGGCUCCACAGUGACCUUCUUAAUUUCCAAUUUUCAUAGAUUCAGCCCCACCACAUGGUUCAGUUUACAUGCAUAAUAUUUGCUAUAGGCUUAUGUCUCACAUCAACACCUACUAAAGGUCCUUUUGAACCCGUACACUGAACCCAUCAGGAAAUACAACAUUUUAAAUAAAGUUUUUGAUUGCUCGAUUUUCAGGGUGCAAACUUGUACUCCAGCUUUUGUCUGAUGAACUCAAACUGAUGAUUUAAAGUUAUCUAAGCAUUUGGGUUGGUGAUAGUCGAGCAGUUCAGACACACACACACCUGCCCUGUCCACUAUUUCUCAACUACAAUCAUCGCGCCAUCCUAUGGAUAUACAUGGUACUAACUUAAAUAUACCGCAUCUGAUCUGUGUCAAAUUUCACAUGAAUAAUGAUGAUCACAGACAGAACUCAAAUUAACAGUGCCACCUAUUGGACAAAAGUGGUAUACCCCAAUCAACGGUCCUGUUAGUGUAAGUGUGAACAGAUCUGCUCAUGUUGCCCUUACGCCUCCUCCUGUGUUAGGGUUUGCACUGACCCGUUUUUCUUUUUAAAUGCUUAAAAAAAAAAACACUUAAAUUAGCUUUUUCGCAUCAAGACUUAUUGACUUUGUCCGGAACCUCUAUUUCAACAAAAUGAAAAGUAAAAAAAAAAAAUUGACUAAAUUAUGAAAUGCUCAUUAAAAUUAUGGCACUUGUCGUGUGAGGGUCGCUGUUGACCCAGUUAGAUUAAUAUCUAAUAAUUAGAGCAAAAUUUGAAAUCAUAAGUGCACUGUCAGGCACCACAUUGACUGUCAGAUCCUCUUCCAAUCAUGUAAGAUUUAGGAAAUUCUCAUUUUGCCAUUUUUUCCCUGCACAAAAAACAAUGUUGGGCAUGUCCAGACAUGUGAGAUCAAUUCAGUAUAGAUGUCUGUGUGAGGGGUAUACUGACAAAGAAAGGCCCAGAGGACCACAACAAAAACUAUUAUAAGCAAUUUUUUCAUGGAUAAUGAAGCCGAACAAGGUAACCUAGAGAUGAGAACAAAAUUGGAUGAUAGAGAUUUUUUUUUGUGUAAUUCACAGCUGAUUUAAAACACGGUUUGAAACCGACCCUUAACAAAGUGGACGUGUAGUUAAAGCUGACACAGGAGGAAGGUUACACUCAGAAACUCUAAAUUUUUUCCAGUGCAUAAGGGCUUUUAAUUCAUUUCAAGUUACUGAAAUUCAAACUUUAUCUCAGUCAAAGGACUCUGCACAGUUUUGACCUGGACUGUCAGUUUCCAGAAAUGAUUUAGAACUCUAAAAACAGCCAUGAGCCGGAGGAAGAGCAGUGUUUCUGUCCUAGGGAUGUUUGUGUUGUGGUGGUCUCUGGAACGAUUAGCUCAGAGGAUGUAACAGGUUUGUCUCCGUAUGUUUGUCUCUGUGUACUCCAGGCCUUUGGGUGGAGUUUCUCGUGCUCAUAUCUUGGAGAAAAAUCUCUCUGAGCGCCAGACUCUGGUGCCAGGCAGUCCAGCCGCCUCGAAGGGACCUGAAGACAGACAGGGAGGAGAGAUGGAGGAGGAGGAGGAGGAGGAGGUGGUGUUGAUAAAUCCAGCAGGGCUCAGUGAGGGUCCUUUUUACAUUCUUUGUGUCUCUCAGGCGUGAAGCAGCAACAGGCUGUUUGUUCAUUUUCACAGUUUGAGGUUGAGUGUCCCGCUGAAAGAGCAGACAUCCUGACCUCACCUUCACUCUGAAACCAUCAACCAUCCAAAAGGUAAUAAUGAGGAGGCAGAAAUAUGUUCCCAGAACAGGAAAACACCGGGGAUUGGAAAUUUUUCAAGUUGUUUUUCAUUCUGUGCUUGGAAAAUCCUGCAAUUUAGUUACGACAAGCACAGGAGUUGAACAACACUGACUGUAAAAACAUGCAAAGUGAAAAAGAGCUUUUUGCACAUAAACCCACUCAGUACAGAAAAACACACAUUAAAAUAUUUUUUUUCUCAGUCAUGUUGUUUUUUUAAGUUGCUAUACAUAAUUUUCUUCACAAUAUAGAUUCAUUUUAAAUCAGUGCUUUUUAAUCUUAACAUUUAUGCAAUUUGAGCAACUUAAAUUAAAACCAAAACAAUGGGAAUAGAGAGGGUUAAGUGUGAUUUAGGUGUUUAGAUAACAGUCAAACACCGGUCAAGAUAUAAAAGUCCCUUCAUAGGUCUUCGUCAAAUUUUUAAAGGAACAGAAAGAUAGCAGAAGUUGUCACAAUUCAUCAAAAUUUCAACUCUGUCAACCAUGAACCCAUUUUUUUUAACUGCUUAUCCCUUCACUUUAUUUUAAAAUGACAGGGGUUAGCAUUAAUGUUAGCAUUGAAAAUGAAAGUUGUUGAAAAUCUUGCAGGUCUGCCACAACCCAAGUCCAGUCAAAGAUUUAACCCAAAUGUGUUAUAUCUGUAAAGAUCCAUCGAUUACUGCAAAUCUACAGAGGCUGAAUGAUCUUUCUCAAAUAGUCUGUGAUCCGUCUUACCAUGUCAGGGUCUGCAGGGUUUGGAUCUGUGUUCUCUCAUAGGUAAACAUGGUAUUCCUUCAGGGUUGCACCAACUCCAGCAAUGCAAAUUUGUCAGUGGCUCACUGGUAUCAUGUAGUGGAGAAAGGUUUCAUACUCUUUCACAAAUUCUCUGCCCUCCUUGACAUAUCAUUAUAUGAUACAGACCUGUCAACAGUCAGAAAAUGUUAAUAUUGCAAGAAUAAGGAUGCAAUAACCAUUUUCCAAAUCCAGCUUGAAUUUAAUACAAAGAAAAAUAACGUUAUUUUCAAUUGAUGGAGAUAAAUGGGCAUGUGCCAGAUAAUGACUGGUUAAAUGUGAGUGUUUUCUGUCAGAUUCAUGAAUGUCUGUCCAAAAGGAUGUAAGUAUAUUUAAAAUGAAGAGUCAGAAAACUGUUUUUUUUUCUGUUUCCAUCAAUAACCAAAGGAUGACUUUGGCGUCCAUUAUUUGGUGACAGAGGAAUGUUAAACAAAAUGUUUAGCCUCUUUGAAAGUCAGGACCCCUGCUUGAAUCUUUGCUUCAGUGAAACCAUACUAAGGUUGAUUAAGCACCACUGUCACAUUCAGUAAGAAAAACAGAAACCAUCAGAAAAGUCCUUAGUCACAGUUACACAACAAAAUGUUUCAUAAUGUUUCUGGUUUCAUCUUUUGUUGUUCUUUCUAACUGGAACAGAUCCCGUCUCCCUCACUGGGCCGGAGGGGGAUAUUGAGUUUGUUCUGUGGGUCAAAGGUCACUGAGGGGAGGGGCGAGAUGUGGAUCCUGCAUCUCCUGGUUGUUUCUUCAGAGAUAUUCCAUGAGGUCAGAGAUGAGGUGAUGUUACACAACCGGGAGACAGCUGAGCCAGAGGAGCUCCUGCUGACCUGCUGAUGGACGCUCAAAAUCUGAACUGUAAGCAAGAGACGAAUCAUGAAUGAUCUGAAUUUAUAUGAUGCUAUUUUGAAACAUGUAAUUCACCAAAAACAGGGAAAAUGUGUCUUUUUCUAUUUCAGAGGUACGCUUCAGGCACCAAAACUGCAAUUCUCUAAGUGACCACUGGAGAGUGUCUCUGUAAGGGACUCAAUCUACAUAGAUCUACAUUAAAAAAGGCCCUCUAAAUGCCCUUUCAGUGGAUAAAAUGUCAACAAAGUGCUCUCUGGAUUUCUUUUCAUGGAUAAAUGUAAGUAAAGUGUCCUCUAGCUACCCUUCAAGAGGAUAACAUAUAAACGAAGUGCACAUUGGAUGCCCUACAGUAAAGUAAAUUGAAACAGAACCUUCUGAAUGUGGUUUACAGUGGAUAAAAUUGAGACACUGUCCCUUGAAUACCCUCCCAAAGGAAAACUGUAAACAAAGUGCCUGUUAGAUGCCUUUUCAAUGGUUAAAUGUAAAUAAAGUGCCUGUUAGAUGCUCCCUCCAGUGGAUAAAGUGUAUAUAAAGUACCCUCUGGAUGUCUUCCCAGUGCUUCAAUUAGAAAGAAAUGCCCUCAAGUGCCCUCUUGUAAAUAAAAUACCUUCUGGGUACCCCACAUUUGAUAAAUGUUGAGUCCCCUUUGGAUGCCCUUGUAGUGGAUUAAUGUAAACCACAUUCCCCCAGAUGUCUUUGCAGUUGUUAAAAGUUUAAAAAAAGUUUUACUGAGUGCUUUUACAACAGAUAAAAUAUAAACAGUGUCUUAAUGGUGCUUCUAAACAUAAACAAAGCACCCUCUCUGUUUGAGUUUUAUAUCUAUUUUUAGUUUUAUCAUCUCUGUUUGGUUGUGUUGAAAAGCUUAUAUCUCAAGUUUAAUACUUUGGUCUGUUAUCAUCCACAGCAGGACUCUUUUUUACAUUUUUUGACCCUGGUCCCUCAAACAGCAUGAGUUCACCACAUCACCCUCGUGUUCACGUGGUGUUUCUUUCUACCCUUCGGCCCUUCAUGGUUCAGUGAGAGUCUGAGUGACAGGCUGCGGGAUGGUUUUUUGGUCCUUGUGGAGAGGAAACCCUGAGCUCUAGGAGGAGCCGGUUCCCACACCCAGAAGAAGAGACGCUCUAACACAAACAGUGCGGAACAUUCAGGAAGGAAAGGGCUCUCUUUGGGCCGUUAUCAGAUCUACAAGACCCUCGACCCCGUCCGUCACCCACAGUUGUCUGACAGCUGAGGCCUCGCCCUCCUCUUUCUCUGCGCCUACCUCCCAAUCACUGCCUCUUUUAUCUUUGUCUUCCUCACCUUCUUCUCUCUCUGUUUUCCUAUUUUAGUCUUCCUCCUUAGUCUCCCUCUCUCUCUCCUUUUUUUACCCUUACCUAUUCAACAUCUUAUUGUGUCUUUCUCCUUCUCCAUCCCUUUCAUCUUCCCCUUCUUCUCAAUUUUGAACAAAGCAAAAGAAGUGUAUUAUGAGCAAAGAUCCAUGAUUAACUUUUUAAAACUCUAAGGUUACUUGAGUGUCAUCACUCAUAACCAACACACAUGAGAAGUGCAACAAUCUUUACUUUGACUAACCUGAUUGUGACUUUUGGUGAGGCCAUAACUCGGCGACCUGAGGUCAAAACCCAGAUUGUAAACAUGCGCUUCAUAUCCGUACAAUUACAUGCAGUCUUAGGGAGCUUAGGACAUGCACAUGCUGUUUGCAUUAGCAUAACGAAUGCUGCAGCUGCCACUGAUGUCAGCUUUGUAUUCCUCUUGGAGAUGCAUGCAGUGUCUGGGGUUUAAAAUCUACUGUUGUGCAGAAAAACCAAAGAUGCAUGCACUUUGUGGAGUUUAAACUCAAACUCCCAAAGUCUAUCCAGUCUGUAAAUCUUCUGCAACGAUGAUGUCUUGGAAUUGCCUUAGUGCAACAGACAGUAAGGUUGCAAUUAAGUUUCUUUCUUUGUGCAUGCAUUUCCCUUUCUGCCGAAAUGUAAACCUCGCUGAUUGAUGACAUAUGUUGUGUCUCCCCCAGCUGUGUGUCAGUGUAAGCGUCUCUCUGCUUGUUGUGCCGUAUUUCACAUUCACACCCAGUCUGAACCAGCAGGGAGCUGUUAAACCCUCUCUGCACCAUUGUCUCGUGUACGUCAUCACAGCGGCCUGUUCGCUCCUUCCCAGCGCAGAGGAAUGUCCACGGCUGAUAAAUCCACAGAUCCCAUCACAACAAGCCCCACCCCCUCAACAUGCCUGUUUACACUCAGACUCAGGGGGAUAAAGGGGGCGCUGGUUCCCUGGUUGACAGGGAUACAGGGCGGUGAUCUGUUGCUUUAUGAUUGCAGUUAAUCUGGUUUUUAUCACCGGGAUAGUGUUUUCACAUUACUGCAACAAGUGAAAUACUGCAAAAACCCAAAUGUUAAAGCUCUGACCUGCACGUCACAUGCACAAGAGAGUCGUUUGUCAAGUUUAGAUUCCCAACAAUCGGAUACAAAAGACAAUAAACAUUAAAGACGACUAAAGCUGACCAUUUUUCUUGUCCGCUGCCAGGAAAACAACAGUUUCAUGCAUGUAGGAGCUGUGUGAAACAAAUCAAAAGUGACCAAACUGGAACUCCUGAAAAGUGCAAAUGCUGUUGCAUUAACCAGGAAUCCUGGGAAAAUGGUGAAUAAUCAAAAUUACCAGGUAGAUUCGCUUUUACAAUAUGAACUCAAAAUCUGAUUUGGAUUGCAAUAAGAUCCAAUAACAAAAAUCCAAUCAGAAAUAGGAAAAAUCACACAUUUGUUUGAAUUACAAUUAAGGGCUGAUACAGAUACUGAAAUGGAAAAACACCAACACCUGAAGGAUGAGUUUAGAAUACUAAAGAUUGACAGAUUGACCACUACUCUUUGAAUGUGAAUCUGGUCAUGAUAUGUUCUGUUCAUUUAUUUUCUCCCUGGUUUUGUUAUUUGUGUGUAUUUUCUUUGUGUUUUUUCUAGUGUUUCUGUUCCCUAUUGUUCCUGUGAUCUUGUCUUAUGAGUUUUCAGUUUGUGUUCGACCCUGCUUCCAUCAUGUUCUCAGUGUUAUUCUUUAGAUCAAUUCUCAGGCCCCGUUUAUACGUACCUGGUUAUUUUUUAAAACUGCAUCAUUUGCACCCUUCCAUUAGACGCAAACAGAGAAUUCGCCCCUGAAAACGAUGCUUUUUAAAAACUCCGGCCAGAGUGGAGAUUUUGGAAAACUCUGUUUGCAUGUUUGCAUGUAAAUAGAGAAGAACUGAGAUUUAG